rnacentral:rRNA from 1 species
AUACGGAGGAUCCAAGCGUUAUCCGGAAUCAUUGGGUUUAAAGGGUCCGUAGGCGGGUUUGUAAGUCAGUGGUGAAAGUUUUCGGCUCAACCGGAAAAUUGCCAUUGAUACUGCAAGUCUUGAAUCAUGAUGAAGUGGUUAGAAUGUGUAGUGUAGCGGUGAAAUGCAUAGAUAUUACACAGAAUACCGAUUGCGAAGGCAGAUCACUAAUAAUGUAUUGACGCUAAGGGACGAAAGCGUGGGUAGCGAACAGAAUUAGAAACCCCGGUAGUCC